UACAGAGGGGGCAAGCGUUGUUCGGAUUCAUUGGGCGUAAAGGGUGUGUAGGUGGCGCCGUAAGUCGGGUGUGAAAUUUCGGAGCUUAACUCCGAAACUGCAUUCGAUACUGCGGUGCUUGAGGACUGGAGAGGAGACUGGAAUUCAUGGUGUAGCAGUGAAAUGCGUAGAGAUCAUGAGGAAGACCAGUGGCGAAGGCGGGUCUCUGGACAGUUCCUGACACUGAGACACGAAGGCCAGGGGAGCAAACGGG
rnacentral:rRNA from 1 species